AGAGUUUGAUCCUGGCUCAGGACGAACGCUGGCGGCGUGCUUAACACAUGCAAGUCGAGCGGAAAGGCCCUUCGGGGUACUCGAGCGGCGAACGGGUGAGUAACACGUGAGUAACCUGCCCCAGGCUUUGGGAUAACCCUCGGAAACGGGGGCUAAUACCGGAUAUUCACUUCGUGUGGCAUCACGUGGGGUGGAAAGUUUUUCGGCUUGGGAUGGGCUCGCGGCCUAUCAGCUUGUUGGUGGGGUGAUGGCCUACCAAGGCGACGACGGGUAGCCGGCCUGAGAGGGCGACCGGCCACACUGGGACUGAGACACGGCCCAGACUCCUACGGGAGGCAGCAGUGGGGAAUAUUGCACAAUGGGCGGAAGCCUGAUGCAGCGACGCCGCGUGAGGGAUGAAGGCCUUCGGGUUGUAAACCUCUUUCGACAGGGACGAAGCGCAAGUGACGGUACCUGGAGAAGAAGCGCCGGCCAACUACGUGCCAGCAGCCGCGGUAAGACGUAGGGCGCGAGCGUUGUCCGGAUUUAUUGGGCGUAAAGAGCUCGUAGGCGGCUUGUUGCGUCAGCUGUGAAAACCCGCAGCUCAACUGUGGGCUUGCAGCUGAUACGGGCAGGCUUGAGUUCGGUAGGGGAGACUGGAAUUCCUGGUGUAGCGGUGAAAUGCGCAGAUAUCAGGAGGAACACCGGUGGCGAAGGCGGGUCUCUGGGCCGAUACUGACGCUGAGGAGCGAAAGCGUGGGGAGCGAACAGGAUUAGAUACCCUAGUAGUCC
rnacentral:rRNA from 1 species